rnacentral:rRNA from 1 species
CCAGCASCCGCGGUAAUACGGAGGGUGCAAGCGUUAAUCGGAAUUACUGGGCGUAAAGCGCACGCAGGCGGUCUGUCAAGUCGGAUGUGAAAUCCCCGGGCUCAACCUGGGAACUGCAUUCGAAACUGGCAGGCUAGAGUCUUGUAGAGGGGGGUAGAAUUCCAGGUGUAGCGGUGAAAUGCGUAGAGAUCUGGAGGAAUACCGGUGGCGAAGGCGGCCCCCUGGACAAAGACUGACGCUCAGGUGCGAAAGCGUGGGGAGCAAACAGGAUUAGAUACCCUGGUAGUCCACGCCGUAAACGAUGUCGACUUGGAGGUUGUGCCCUUGAGGCGUGGCUUCCGGAGCUAACGCGUUAAGUCGACCGCCUGGGGAGUACGGCCGCAAGGUUAAAACUCAAAUGAAUUGACGGGGGCCCGCACAAGCGGUGGAGCAUGUGGUUUAAUUCGAUGCAACGCGAAAAACCUUACCUACCCUUGACA